rnacentral:rRNA from 1 species
UACGUAGGGGGCAAGCGUUGUCCGGAAUGACUGGGCGUAAAGGGAGUGUAGGCGGUUCUUUAAGUUAAAUGUGAAAGCCUGGGGCUUAACCCCAGAACUGCAUUUAAUACUGGAGGGCUUGAGUGUGGGAGAGGUAAGUGGAAUUCCUAGUGUAGCGGUGAAAUGCAUAGAUAUUAGGAGGAACAUCAGUGGCGAAGGCGACUUACUGGAACAUAACUGACGCUGAAACUCGAAAGCGUGGGGAGCAAAC